UGUAGUCAUAUGCUUGUCUCAAAGAUUAAGCCAUGCAUGUCUAAGUAUAAGCAAUCUAUACAGUGAAACUGCGAAUGGCUCAUUAAAUCAGUUAUCGUUUAUUUGAUAGUACCUUACUACUUGGAUAACCGUGGUAAUUCUAGAGCUAAUACAUGCUAAAAACCUCGACUUCGGAAGGGGUGUAUUUAUUAGAUAAAAAACCAAUGCCCUUCGGGGCUCCUUGGUGAUUCAUGAUAACUUAACGAAUCGCAUGGCCUUGUGCCGGCGAUGGUUCAUUCAAAUUUCUGCCCUAUCAACUUUCGAUGGUAGGAUAGUGGCCUACCAUGGUUUCAACGGGUAACGGGGAAU
rnacentral:rRNA from 1 species